ACGCUCUUCCGAUCUAUCAUAUUACACCUGCACUCCACUCACUGCACUGGUUACCUGUCAGUUUUAGAAUAGAUUUUAAGGUUCUGGUGAUGGUUUUUAAAUGUCUUCAUGGUCUUGCUCCUCUUUACCUCAGUGAAAUGAUGGUGAGAUAUGUUCCUGUCAGGUCUCUCAGGUCCUCAAACAGUAAUCUACUGGUGAUUCCUAAAACCCGGUUAAAGAUUGGCGAGGGUGCUUUUAGCCACUACGGCCCAAAGCUUUGGAACUCUCUUCCUGAGGAGCUAAGAGGCAUUACAUCCCUGUACAGCUUCAA